UACAUGCAGGUGUGUGUGUGCAUGCACACACACACAAACACAUCAUGAUGUACUUUUAGAAAAAUCCAUUGCCCUCUCAAAAGACAAACCAACCAACAACCUAUGUUGCUCUGUCCUUGAGAAUCUGAAAUGUACUACAAAAACAUAUUCCUAGUCGUCUGUUCUUUCUGGGGUUAAAAUUCAAAUUCAGAAUCUCAUUUGAGAAAUGCCCAGGCUUGCAAAAUCACAACUGAACUUGGGAAGGGCACAUGCCUAACCACCUGCAAUGCUGGGAAGAAUUAAGAUUUUGCCUUGACCCCACCACCUUUUCCCCAGACAUAAACUCAGUAAAGGAGAAAGAUGCCCUCUGGGCAGACAGCUGAAAAAAGUUAUAGCCACCAACCCUAGUCUCCGAGGGGCACUUCUAUGCCCUGCCAAUCUCCUGCUUCUUCAGACCUGUCCUAUGUUAUUCUCCGUUAAGAGAGAGGACCUGUGGAUGGAUGAGCCUUGACAUCACCAUGAGCACCUCCUCUUUCUGUGCUGAAUCUCCCAUUGGGCUAGAGAGCAGUGUGUUAGCAAGGAGGAUUGCGCCUUGAAGGUGUUUUACAGCAUGAUUUGCGACCUCUUCCAUGCCUAACAUCCUACAUUGCUAAAUAUUCUUUUGUGUUUAUUACUGAAUAUUUCAGCACAAAGCUAUCAAGUUGGGGAAAUAUGGAUUAAAAAUAGAAAUAAACACUAAAGAGAGCUCUAGAAAAAGGAGAACAGAAAUGGCUUUGCCUAUUUGCUAUCGUAUGUGAGCUGCCCUCUGGAGAGGCCUGAACGGGGCAUCGUCAAGCCAACAGUCCGGGCACCAUCGUGCAGGGAGCUGAAUUUUGCCAACAGUAAUGUGCAUGAGCUGGGAGCGGAUUCUGUCCCAGUUGAACCCUGAGAUGAGUGUGGCCUUGGAUAACACAGUAACUGCAGCCUGUGAGAGACCCUGAGUCACAGGAACCAGCAAAACAGUACCAGAAACCUGACCCAGGGAAAUGAUUGCAGCAGUGAAGGAAGUUGUAAUCUUUUUGAUGGAGGAGGAUCUUGUCUUCAAUUUGUAAAUAACCCAACACCUGGGAAGCAUAAUGAAGUGACGCUCAAUAAAACAAGGCAUGCCUGUUUCAUCUUGGUUACUUGCUAUGGAAAGAAGAAAGGACAGAGAGAUAAAACCAUUGAUGAUGAGGGAAACA